UACGUAGGGUGCAAGCGUUAAUCGGAAUUACUGGGCGUAAAGCGUGCGCAGGCGGUUAUGUAAGACAGGGGUGAAAUCCCCGGGCUUAACCUGGGAAUUGCAUUUGUGACUGCACGGCUAGAGUGUGUCAGAGGGGGGUAGAAUUCCACGUGUAGCAGUGAAAUGCGUAGAUAUGUGGAGGAAUACCGAUGGCGAAGGCAGCCCCCUGGGAUAACACUGACGCUCAUGCACGAAAGCGUGGGGAGCAAACAGG
rnacentral:rRNA from 1 species